AUACGGGAGGCAGCAGUAGGGAAUUUUCGUCAAUGGGGGAAACCCUGAACGAGCGACGCCGCGUGAGGGACGAAGGCCUUCGGGUUGUAAACCUCUGUCUUCGGGGACGAUAAUGACGGUACCCGAGGAGGAAGCCACGGCUAACUACGUGCCAGCAGCCGCGGUAAGACGUAGGUGGCGAGCGUUGUCCGGAAUUACUGGGCGUAAAGGGCGUGUAGGCGGCCUUUCAAGUCAGGCGUGAAAUCCUUGGGCUUAACCUAGGGACUGCGUUUGAAACUGGAGGGCUUGAGGACAGGAGAGGAAAGCGGAAUUCCCAGUGUAGCGGUGAAAUGCGUAGAUAUUGGGAGGAACACCAGUGGCGAAGGCGGCUUUCUGGACUGUCCCUGACGCUGAGGCGCGAAAGCCAGGGGAGCGAACGGGAUUAGAUACCCCGGU
rnacentral:rRNA from 1 species